GUUAUCAUAGCUUACCCAAAGCAUAGCACUGAAAAUGCUAAGACGGCUACCACCUGACUAAC
rnacentral:tRNA from 1 species